ensembl:processed_transcript C430049B03Rik RIKEN cDNA C430049B03 gene
GCUGGCUGCUCCCGCUCGCCUCUUGGGGUGCGCUCGGCUCCAGCCCAACUCCGCCAGCUCCGCCGGCUCCAGCACCGCUCCAACCCGAUUCCAGCCGGAUUCCAGCCCGAUUCCAGCCCGGUUCCAGCCCGAUUCCAGCCCGGUUCCAGCCCAGCUCCGUCCCGGCUCCGGUUCUUCUCCGCCACGCCUCUCUGUCGACGCUGAGGAGCAGCUUCGCAGGAAAAUCCCAGAAACCUUUGCAAAAAGCUUACAAUGAAAUUUAAGAAGUUCUACGAUUUCGGCGCCAUUUUCGAGUGGAGUGAGAGGUGACUUAGAAUCUAAAAAAGAAAAAAACGAGGGGGAAGGGAACUUUUUGGCCCGCCUCCCCCCGCCCCCAACUAUGUCUCUGGUCACUACAGACUGUAACAGAUACGGGGAUAAUUCUCAAAAAAAAGUUAUGCGUCGCGCUGGGUGGGGUGUGGGGGUGGAAAGCGUGUCCGGGGGUCGUGGUGGGGGGAGGACAGAUCUUUAAAAUGUCUAGCAAGUGAGUGUGGCCAGGGAACUUCUCAGAAAGUGGACUGAGAAGAGUAAACGGGGAGGGGUGGGGAGAGAGAAAUGAGUGAGGGGCGGGCAGCCUCAGGCUGUCAGCCUUGCCAGGGUGGGGAGCAACUAGUUUUGACAGACUGUAAAUGGGACUUUGGGCCACUCAUUUGUAAGCAGUAAAGAAUGUCCUGGAAAGAACCGUAAAAUUCGUUUUCCAUUGUCUCUCGCUAAUUAAAACUUUUCAAGGU